GUGCUCACUUUAGCAGCAUAUAUACUGUAACUAGAGUGAUUCAGAGAAGCUUAACAUGGCCUCUGUGCAAAGAUGAUACACACCAAUUGGUGAAGCAUUUCAUAAUUUG
rnacentral:snRNA from 1 species